GUCGUCCCGAGUGGCUGGACAAAAUGCAAACGUGGCAACAAACGGCGUUCGUACUCCUUCCAUGUACAAGUCGUUUUUCUUUUAAAACACGAUUCAUUCCCAAAUAAAGCAAAACCCAGCAUUCCAACACGAUUCAGUCACAUUUCGUUCUCCCCCAAAAUCAAAUUCUCUCGAACCCUAGAUCACGUUGGGAAGAAAUUAUAAUCCGGGAUUCACCGUCCCCAACAUCACAACAGAAAGUCCUGUUCGAAUCCACCCCAAACUUCACAAUCAAAAUCCAGUUACCAAAACCCAGAACAUACGAAGAAAGUCACACGAACCCAAUCAAGUUUCGCGCAAGGUGUAGCUAAUUACUGACCAUACUGAAUUUUAGUUUAGUCUUUUGUAGAAUAUUAUAGUUGAAUGAACAUAAACAUUUUUCAAUUUAUGGCUGCAAAAAAUCAAUUGAAUAUGUUGAAAUUCGUGUUGUAGGAUGUUUUACAUUGUUCACAUUUCCCAUGUUUGCUUAGUGUAUAUGCAAUUUGCUAAUUAUAUUGUUUACCUUUUCCAUGUUUGAAGUGAUAUGGUAGGGAAGAACAGAGGCGUUUCUCAUAGUUGUAGGAAGUUUGGGCAUUUUUUGUCGAAUUGUCCAACAAAAUAAUGUUGCCUAAAAUGUAGCUAGGGCAUCGAGAAUGUAUGGGGGUGGAGAGAAGUACGUCAAACAUAGGCCGAUUGUUCCUUUUCUGUACUUUUGAUUGUGGUAAUCUUAAUUGGCAAGAUGAAGAUGCGUCUAGUAGGGAAAAGGCUAUAGACCUGAUUGAAAAUUUGUUGAGUAUGUUGAAGUCGUGUGCUCAAAUCUAUGAAAAAUUAGAGAUAGAGAUAUCUUUCAACGUCAUUGUUCAUAUGGAAAAAAGAGUUAUAGAGGACAACCGAAAAGGAAAGAGAAUCGUUCCUUGAAUUAUUUCAAACAAUGAAAACGUGUCAAGACUCGUUGUUGGAGUUGUCAAGAUCCAUGUUUAUGUAAUAUUCAUUAAACUUGUUGUAUUUUAUAUCUUGUGGAGGUCAUGUAAUUAAUAUAGUUCAUGUAGCUUAUGUAGUAUUUUGUUAGUAUGUUGUGAGAACUUUUGCGGUCUAUUAAUUUAAGUCUGAAUUCCCUU
rnacentral:lncRNA from 1 species